rnacentral:tRNA from 1 species
GCACUGGUGGUUCGAUGGUAGAAUUCUCAUCUUCCAUGUGGGAGACCCAGGUUCGAUUCCCAGACAAUGUA